CACAAAUACGUUUGAAAUUAAUGUAAAAAUCAGUAAUCAAAUUCAAGGUUUGGGUUCUGUUCUUCUAAUUGCAGAAUUGAUCUGAUUUCCCGUGGCUGUAGUAAGUAGAUCUACAGCUACAGUUACUAGAAGUGGAGGGAAUACACUCUGUGAACACAGCAAAAGGAGCUCAAUGAAUCCGGCUUCAUGCAGUGAUGAAACCUUUGGUGAGAGAGAACAUAUGUCAUCAGAGCACAAAGGUUUCUGCUGGAGAAUAUAUUAAACUGUUCAACCAUUCACUGAAACUAUUUAUGAGAAGACCAAACCUCGACUUUCAGUAAGAUGCAUGG
rnacentral:lncRNA from 1 species